UCUGUGUACCGCUCUCGCCGUCCGCAGCAUGCCAGGAGUACCCCGGCGUCACCUGUGCCGUGCACGAGACGAGCUCCAGCACCAUCUAGCGGCAGUCAUCCGAAGCUCCCAGCCCGCCGUAGAGCCCCUGAUCCACAGCCCGUAUCGAUGACCGAACUGUAUUUUCCAGAUGACCUGAGACGUAUUGACGUCGCAGUUGGCGGUGAGCUGAGACACCGAGAGGAGCCUGCUUUUGAAUUGAGCUAGGCUGAGCCGCGACUCACCAUGCCUGACCUGCGUGCGCUGCUGAUGGCGACUCUGCUGCUGGCGCUGCUCGGCUCCGCCGCUGCCUACGACGACCCGUUUAUUCCCGGCCCGGAGAUGGCGUCCUCCGCGGAGAAGGCCAGCGGCGCGCUGCUGCUGGUGGCCGCCGGGCUGCUGGCCGCCCUCCGUCUGCUGUGACCUCUGUGACCUCUGACUGGUCCGGCGGACUUGCCAUUGACUGGCAACGCGUGGAGCGUAAGGACCUGUCGCAUGAUUUUGCACCUUGACAAUAAAAAGGCAUGAAUACAAAAACAUAUAUGA